UACGUAGGUGGCGAGCGUUGUCCGGAUUUCCUGGGCGUAAAGAGCGCGCAGGCGGCUGGUCAAGUCCGAUGUGAAAGCUCCCGGCUUAACUGGGAAAUUGCAUCGGAAACUGAUCGGCUGGAAGGUGGGAGAGGGUAGCGGAAUUCCCGGUGUAGUGGUGAAAUGCGUAGAUAUCGGGAGGAACACCAGUGGCGAAAGCGGCUACCUGGCCCAUUCUUGACGCUGAGGCGCGAAAGCUAGGGGAGCAAACGGG
rnacentral:rRNA from 1 species